CGCUUAGCUAUCUCAGCCUGAAAAACCCUCAACUUCUCAGGCCACAACGAAUUAACUAUAGGUCUGCCAAUCAACUUGGACAAGAAAAAGCAGGAAGAGGCCCCAGCAGUGGCAUUGAAAACAACUAAAAAAAGUCCUCUAACAACACCAAAAAGAGCUCCCGCAAGCAAUGACAUGAAAAUUGUUCCAGGAAUCAUAAAAGUCUGCAUGAAGAUAUAUGUAGAGCAGUAACCCAGGAUGAACUGUGCUGGGUAAUCUUUUGCAUAUGUCCCAAGAUGGUCUUUGAGCAAGCGAAGAUCUGAAACGGUGCGAGGCAGCUUGAGGUUGACAUAGACAGAAGUGGGCAUUCCCAAGUAGAUGCAAAACAAACCGGAGGAGAAGACGACGAGGACCCCAAGAGCAGCAGUGAAUUCCCAUCUGGUAAAAGGGAACCUCUCCAACUUGGGCUUCUUAGCGGAAGGCGAAUCCUCCUGUUUGGCCUUCUCUUCGUCCCUCAUUUUUGGCCUAAUGCUUCCCGUAUUUCUGAUCAGAUUCCUCGCCGCAGGCAUCAAACUCUGAAGAAGGAUUCACUCAUGGGAAGAAGCAUUGUGUAGAAUUGGACCCAUUUCUCAAUUAUAAUUUGUUGAAAAAAAAAAAUCAAUUUAAAUCACAAAAACUGUAAAGAAUUCAGAUUUAAGAAAUUUGGGAUUCAGAGACUUUUG
rnacentral:misc_RNA from 1 species